UCAGUGCGCCCCGAGCAGCCAGAGCGCACGGUUACAAUGAUCUUCUCCAUCGGUCCGACUGAGAGCCAGCGUCAGUACCGAGCUCCGAGCAGCAGACACACCGUCACACACCCUGACCGACACCAGCUCCGCCCGCAGCAGGAUGCCCGGGGGAAAGAGAGGGCUUGUGGCACCGCAGAACACUUUUCUGGAGAACAUCGUCCGGCGUUCAAGUGAGACCAGCUUCCUCCUGGGAAACGCCCAGAUUGUGGAGUGGCCUGUAGUUUACAGCAAUGACGGAUUCUGCAAGCUGUCUGGCUUCCACAGGGCUGAGGUCAUGCAGAAGAGCAGCACAUGCAGUUUUAUGUACGGAGAGCUGACGGACAAGAAGAGCAUCGACCAAGUCAGACAGACGUUCGACAACUAUGAGUCCAACUGCUUUGAAAUCCUGCUAUACAGAAAGAACAGAAGUCCAGUGUGGUUCUACAUGCAAGUGGCUCCCAUCAGGAACGAGAACGACAAGGUGGUUCUGUUCCUCUGCACUUUUAAGGACAUCACUCUCUUCAAGCAGCCUAUCGAAGACGAAACCACUAAAGGAUGGACCAAGUUUGCACGGCUGACUCGGGCGCUCACCAACAACCGCAACACGCUGCCGAAGCUGGCACCCAUAGAACAUGAAGUCAGCCAUAAACAGUCCAGACUGGCCGAGGUUUUGCAGCUGAACUCGGACAUCCUCCCGCAGUACAAGCAGGAGGCCCCCAAGACGCCUCCCCACAUCAUCCUUCACUACUGCACCUUCAAGACCACCUGGGACUGGGUCAUCCUCAUCCUCACCUUCUACACAGCCAUCAUGGUGCCCUACAACGUCUCCUUCAAGACCAAGCAGAACAACAUUGUGUGGCUGGUGCUGGACAGCGUGGUGGACGUCAUCUUUCUGGUGGACAUUGUCCUCAACUUCCACACCACCUUCGUGGGGCCCGGCGGCGAGGUCAUCUCCGACCCUAAGCUCAUCCGCAUGAACUACCUGAAGACGUGGUUCGUCAUCGACCUGCUGUCCUGCCUGCCCUAUGACAUCAUCAAUGCCUUCGAGAACGUCGACGAGGGCAUCAGCAGUCUGUUCAGCUCCCUGAAGGUGGUCCGCCUGCUGCGUCUGGGCCGGGUGGCCCGGAAACUGGACCACUACCUGGAGUACGGAGCUGCCGUUCUGGUGCUGCUGGUCUGUGUGUUCGGACUGGUGGCUCACUGGCUUGCCUGCAUCUGGUACAGCAUCGGAGACUACGAGGUCAUCGACGAGGCCACCAACACCAUCAAGGUGGACAGCUGGCUCUACCAGCUGGCUCUCAGCAUCGGAUCGCCCUACCGCUACAACACCAGCGGCUCCGGCCAAUGGGAGGGCGGCCCUGGCAAGGACUCUCUGUACAUCACCUCUCUGUACUUCACCAUGACCAGCCUGACCACCAUCGGCUUCGGCAACAUCGCCCCGACCAGCGACGGCGAGAAGAUCUUCUCUGUGGCCAUGAUGAUGGUGGGAUCUCUGCUCUAUGCCACCAUCUUUGGAAACGUGACCACCAUCUUCCAGCAGAUGUACGCCAACACCAACCGCUACCACGAGAUGCUCAACAACGUCCGGGACUUCCUGAAGCUCUACCAGGUUCCCAAGGGGCUGAGCGAGCGUGUGAUGGACUACAUUGUCUCUACCUGGUCCAUGUCCAAAGGCAUCGACACGGAGAAGGUCUUAUCCAUCUGUCCCAAGGACAUGCGGGCCGACAUCUGUGUCCACCUCAACAGGAAGGUGUUUAAUGAACACCCAGCGUUCCGGUUAGCCAGCGACGGCUGCCUGCGCUCACUGGCCGUGGAGUUUCAGACCACCCACUGCGCCCCCGGAGACCUGAUCUACCACGCCGGCGAGAGCGUUGACACCCUGUGCUUCGUUGUGUCGGGGUCACUGGAGGUCAUCCAGGACGACGAGGUCAUCGCCAUCUUAGGUAAAGGCGAUGUGUUUGGUGACGUCUUUUGGAAGGAAACCACCCUGGCGCAUGCGUGCGCCAACGUCAGAGCGCUAACGUACUGCGACCUCCACGUCAUCAAGAGGGAAGCCUUGCUCAAGGUGCUGGAGUUUUACACGGCCUUCGCCAACUCCUUCUCCCGCAACCUCAUCCUCACCUGCAACCUGCGCAAGCGGAUAAUUUUCCGCAAGAUCAGUGAGGUGAAGAAGGAGGAAGAGGAGCGCCAGCGAGCGAAGAACGAGGUGCAGCUCACCAUCCCGCAGGACCAUCCCGUCCGCAAGCUCUUCCAGAAGUUCAAGCAGCAGAAGGAGCUCCGCAACCAGGGAGCGGCCGCCGCCCCACACCUGGACCUGGAGAAGAACCAGCUGCAGGUGGAGCAGCACCUGCACCCCCACAGCCUGCAGCUGGGCCACUCCAGCCUGCAGCACUCGCUGCCGCUCAGCCUGCAGCGCCCGCCCUCCUCCAUGCAGAACGGGGCUCCACCCAGCAGCAGCGUGCUGACCGUGUCCCAGGUCACGCCCAUGCAGAGCUCGCUGCCAUACAGCCAUCCUGGCGAGCCUCCCACCAAGCAGAACAACUGCGAUAUCAUAGAGCUGCAGCCCAGUUCGGCUGGAAGCAUAGCUGAGCAGACUGUCAGACUCAAAGUCAGCACCAGCCCUGUGCCGGCCAAGCCGGCCGUCAAGGCCAGCGGCUGGAUGCGCCUGAGAAACAACACGGCUCCAGUGGAGGCCAGGAAGGACGGAUUGAACAACAACGUCAAGGCUGUUUCCGUGGAGAUGCUCUCACAGGAGGGUAAAGGUCAGGACGCAGGAGGGGCUGGCGAUAGAGAGGAGGGUGGGGUGUCCAGCAACAAUCCCCUCCGCAAGACGGACUCCUGCGACAGCGGCAUCACCAAGAGCGAGCUGCGGAUAGACCGGGCGGGGGAGGCACGGACCCCCGCUGCGGUCACCCCCCUCCUCCACAGCCCUCUCCCUGGAGGAGCGAGGUCCCCUCACCCUUUCUGCCCCAUCCCAGAGCAGGCCCUGCAGGCCGCGCUGCACGAGACCCGGCUGGAGCUCCGGAGGGACAUACAGACCCUGGGAGGCCGCCUGGGCUCCCUGGAGAGUCAGGUAGCGGAAAUUAUCAAACUGCUCUCAGACAAGAAGCGGCCGCCCACGGGGUUGUUGUCUGCCUCCACCACACCCAAAACCAAAAUACAACGUCAGGACAUUUUCACCGUUUCUAGGCCUGUUUCUCCAGACUCAGAGAAGGACGAAGGGCUCUGAAGAGAGCUUGACCAGGGGGGUAGAGAGUGUACUGGAACAUAGAGCAAUCACAUGGCACAUUGUUCUACUAUGAUCACCAUUAUCAGUUUAAGGUUAUGCUCUGUUGGAUCCAGUUACGCCACUGGUCUUAAUUCUGGCUUCUUUAACAUUUGCACACUGACUUCUAUUUCCAGGUCACGUAAGAGUCCACACUCCACAGGGACCUGGACCCGGUUUUUGUGAUUGUACAUACCUCUCUAUGCAUGUCCAGCUGGAUUCUGGCCUGCCAAAGAAACAACUAGUGAACGUACUUAUUGCCUGUAUAUUAUGCAGUUGACUGCAUGCAAAUUGAAUUUAAAGAGAACUGACAUUUUAUUGAGCUACACUGUACAUAUGAAUAUUUUUCAUUGAUAAUUUACUAUGUGGACAUUCAGGGUUUGCAUACUGGUAGCACUAUAAACAUUGAUAACAAAAGGGUUUACUGGCAAAGGGAUUGUGCAUGGAUUAUUUAAAAAUAGAGAAAUAGAAAGGGAUGGAGGUGUCUUUUUUUUCUUUGCCUGUGAGAUGAAAUAGAAGUGAUUCUGCUCUCACCUCGCCCUCUAAGAACACAGAUUCCCAAAUGUGAUGAGGAAGCAUCCUUUUAACACAUGAAGGGAAUUUUCUCAUAUGUUUUUAUAUUUAUUAUCUAUCUGCUUCUUAUAAUAAUUUCUAUUUUUGAUUACAGAAACGCCCUUGGCCUCAGUUUGAUGUCGGGUUAACCCUUAAAUGGUUAUUUUGUCAGAAUCCGCCUUGUGUCUAUGCAUCGCUCGGGUAUGCCGCUAGAAUAUUCUGAUUAUUCCUUUGUUAACAUGUCGGUGAAUGAAGGAAGUUUUUUUUGUUCCAUUCCUCUGCAUGAAUCAGGGAUGGCAGAAUGCACUUUGGGUAAAGCUGGAACGACAAGAAGGCUUUAAGGAAAUAACACAGAGUUUAGUUCACAUAAAAGUCCACUCAGCACAGUGACAUGUAAUCCCUCAGCCCCAGCACCACACACGGUAGUCUUAACCAGCGAGCGUCGCUCUGAAGCCUGCUCUGAAUUUCAUUAAGGACACAGCAGCUUCGCCGCAAAAAGCUCAAGUAAUAAAAAAUGGAAUACUGUACUUUUUAUGAUAUCAGUUUUCUAAAUCUGCAUGCAAAGGAGUAGUUUUAUGCUCCAGAGUGCGUACGUAUAUAUAAAUGUGUGUGUGCAAGAGCUGAAACACACACACACACACACACACACACACACACACACACACACACACACACACACACACACACACACACACACACAGACAUGCACAGUGUGGCGGCAUCUCUUGAGUGAACACCCCAGGGAGACUUUUUCUUCACAGAAGGCAGAUCAGUCGGCUUUGUCAGAAGUCUAGUUUUUCAGGUCUGGUGAGAUUUAGACGCGGUCCCCCCAAAACCGCCCCCAAACCCUGCAGUGCAGCAAGCACAUAUCUCUCACACACACACAAUUAUAUUUAAUAAGGAAGAAGAUACAUGUACGGUAGCCAUCAUGGAAGCCUCAAAUAGUUUUAAAUGACUAGAUUCAUGUCAUUCCUGCUUUAUUAUCUGCAGUGUGAGGAAAUGGACGGGUGGCAAAAAACAGGCUGAUGUUAACUGGAGGUGUCAGGCCAGUAACCCCCAACACAUCUUCUGUUGCCAGUAUUGGGGGUCAUUAGCUCUCGGUUAAAUUAACAGCUGGUUGGAUUUCUUUUCAUCCCUUUAUUAGACAGUUAACAGUAGAGAUAUAACAGGAAAUGAGGAGAGAGAAACAAUGGGCAAUGACAAAAUGCUAAAAAAAGCUCCCCUAAAGCUAAGCAUGUUGCAGUUCACGGUCAGCACCUUAAACCUCCAGGCCACCAGGGCGCUAGCUCGUUGGAGUGCCACCCGCAUAGAUGUCUUUACAGAAAGCGGUGAUGCAAAUCUGAAAGAAAUAAUAUAUUUUUGCAUGCCUAUCAGUCUAAUGCCAGGCCCAGAGGACUCGAAAUCCGACAGACACAGGGUGUCAGAAAAGAACAUUGGUAGAUUGUGUUCCCUGAUAGAAUGACGAGCAUAUCAGAAUUAAUUUGCCCUCUUCAAUUAGUUUCACAGCAUCUGCGAUGUCCUGCAUGACAAUUUGGAUGCCAGGGGUGUUGACAUUUCUGAUCCAGGAAGCCUAUAGGCCGAGAUAUGCU